CUUCUUUAUUAUUAUUAUUAUUUUUUCUGUUUAAUGUAAAUCUGGUCAUUAAUUUAGUUCUUGUCUCUGGAUAAUUUGCGGGGAUUUUUGUUUAUUUUGCUUCUUUGUGGUCCUUUUAACGUAGAUAUUUAUAGAGACUAUCAUAUGUUUAUAUUUAGGGAAUUGUGGGUAUCCCUCUUGGUUGCAAGUCUAUGUGAGAACGGUUGAGGAAAUUAUAUGUAGCAUUUGCCUAAUCAAUUUAAGGAAAAAUAAUUUCUUUAAUGAGGAUUUCUGAUGUGACCUCCUUGGAACUUGGCAGACGCAUGUCCUUGUAUCUCGAGAG
rnacentral:misc_RNA from 1 species